GCUUAUGGCCAUACCACCCUGAGAACGCCCGAUCUCGUCUGAUCUCGGAAGCUAAGCAAGGUCGGGUCUGGUUAGUACUUGGAUGGGAGACCGCCUGGGAAUACCAGGUGCUGUAAGCU
rnacentral:rRNA from 1 species